UAGGGAAUCUUCGGCGAAUGGACGAAAGUCUGACCGAGCAACGCCGCGUGAGUGAAGAAGGUUUUCGGAUCGUAAAACUCUGUUGUUAGAGAAGAACAAGGGUGAGAGUAACUGUUCACCCCUUGACGGUAUCUAACCAGAAAGCCACGGCUAACUACGUGCCA
rnacentral:rRNA from 1 species